GCACGAGAACGCGAGGGUUUCCUCCGCCGCUGCCGCUGCCGCGGCCCCAUAUCCCUCCACUCCACGGCGCCCGUCCUCGCUCCGCAGUCGCCAAAUCCGGACGAGAUCGGUAGGAUCCACUAUCGGGCGAGGUUUCUCUCUCUGUAAGUCGCUGCCGCGACCCAUGGAAACUCCGACGAACGGAGUGCAUACCGGCAGCCUGCGGGCCGGCGGAUCAGCGCCGUCCGCCUCCACCGUCACCUCCUCCUCCAUGACCUACGCAGCCGGACGCCCGAGGUGAUCGCAUGCUAUGAGUGCGUGUUGGUGUGUGCUUAGCCUGCCGGUGCGUGCGUACCGGCUCGCGUGCGUGUGCCUGUGUGCUGAUUUAAAGUAUGGCUUGCUAGCCAGAACAUCUUCGUGACACUGAUUGUUUUGCCGCUGCUUAGGACUUCCCUAUACAGUAGAUAGAAGAUGAUUUGUGUGUUCUAAAUUCUUGCAAAUUGAACUGACUAUUUGUUAUCUCUCCUCUCUAGAUCAGAGAAGAUGUUAUUAUUUUUUCAGAAAAAGGAAAUUAGUAUUUGAACGUCAUCCUACAACAUGAGUACUAGAUUUUGUAUGAACAGAUAAUAAAUAACCUGGAAGUAGCACGCUCCCUUGCUGUUGUAAUUCUCAGCGUGUACUUUUGCUACUGUACUAUUGCUUCACAAUCUGGUCUGGAUUUAUGAUAGGUAGUAACUAUGUGAUUUGUAUUUAUGUGUUGUUAGUUUGAUCCAACUGGAACUUCUUACUGUUCAAGAAUGAUGCUUCGUGAUGUAAAGAUGUUCUGUUUAAGUGGGAGCCGUGAAGGGCCUAAUCUGUGCAAUCUUAAGUUUCAGAAAUAUGGUAGUAGUCCAUAUAGAGUACAAGAGCUGACCAAUGUUGUGGUGUGGAGCAGACUGACAAUGAAAAUACCCAGGCUCAUGCUUUUAUUCUCUGUCCAGUAGAUGAAAUUAUCACAUGAUGGUGUAUGCAGAGGAGUGGAAGGUGUAUGGAGUUUCAAUUAGAUUGGGUGGCCACCGGCGUCCAUGAGACUCCAGAGUGACAUGGCAGACUGUUAGCACAUCUGCUCACAUCAUUGACAUUCGUGAUGAGUCACCCAUAGGCCCACUCAGCAGGCAAGUAACUCCAUAUCCUUCAAUUCCAAGCCUCAGAUGAUUUGCAUUAAUAUAUUAUCUCUAAUACCCUGGCCCAAACAUUGAUGAUACAUGCAAAAUUUAUAAAGCUAGAUUUGUUGUGAGUGCAUAGCAUAUUGAAAUAAAUUUGGAUGAACUAACUUGAGUUCUUCCAUCAAGUUUUAUUAUAUCAAAUCUUCAAUACAAAAAUUACAACAAAAAUGACAUGUAAAUAUUGACAAGCCUGAUGUUGUGUGCCUGCAACACUUCUGUCACUGAUUAUGAUGAUGAAUUCUUCGCUUAAAUGGAAGUUUUUCAGUGUGAACUUUUGAUGAACUAUCUUCAUGAUGAUGAUGCUAGAUGUUAUAUGAUUUGUUAUGUUAAUGAAAAUCUUUUAUACCUAACUGACUACCCAUUAUGUUAUACUCCCUCCAUUCCUUUAUAUAAGGUGUAUUUGUUUUUUCAAAAGUCAAACGAGUGCAUGUUUGACCAAGCUUUUAGAAAAACAUAUACUUAUUCACAAUAUGAAAUUUAUAUCAUUUGACCCAUCAUGAAAAGUAGUUUCAUGUUUUAUCUAUUAGGUAUAGCAUAUGUUAUUAUUUUAUUCUAUAAUCUUGGUCAAACAUUUAAAUGGUUGACUUCCACGGAAAUCAGUACACCUUAUAUUCUGGAACGGACUAUGAUUUAUUUAUUUUCUCCAGUUGCAAUGCACGGGCUAUUACCAAUAAUUUUCAUUAUCAAAUGCAGUGUUAGUGAAAGGGUGUUCCUUUAUCACGAUUAAAGGUUGCAUGUCUUCUGAUAAGUGCCUCGAUAUCUUUUCGGUCUCUACUUGAAUGUCGCGUACUUAAUUUUUUAGUGCCCAACAAUCUUUGCACUGAUUCUUGCAAGGGGUCCUCGAGGAAGCAAAGUAAAUGACUAUUCUCAGUGGAGACGACACCAUAGAUGUUGUUUUGAAUUUAAUACAAAGUAGAUGCCAGGACAGAAAUAUAUACUUGAAACCCAAUGAGGUCAAUGAUGUGCGAGAUUCUGUGUUCGGAGGAUGGCUCAAAGAUCAAUUACAUCAAACUAAGAAGGUUUAACCAAAAUGAUGCAAGUUUGAAUUGCCUCUCGCUUAAACUUUCUUAAUUAUGCAUUUAUCAUUUUUGAGAUGUUAAGCUCUGAUGAUCACACUACUUGAUUAUCCGAUUCCAGGAUCCGUUGAGGAAGCCAUUAAGAAAUUAAGGGAGAACAAUAUAAAGGCCUUUGUGUUCGAUCUGCAUGUUAACAGAUUUUUACCUGUAGAAUUCAUGGUGGAUUUUCACCUAAUGUUGUUGAAAAAUCUAAAUCUUUACAUGGUUGUUUUGAUGCAGUGGUCGGCUUUUUCCUGAAGGGAUUGAGAUUACCAAGAUUCGGAUCAGAUCCCUGCUUUGUCAGUGCAGGAGAACUGCUCAAGCACAUAGGCAUGGCGUGCCUGACGUGGAUUACACCCGAACUGCCCUCCUUUGACAUAAAAGGUACCCGAUUCCCUCGACAAAAAUCCUGACUAAAUCGCAAGUCUCCCUGCUUGAAAGUUGAUGCAUCUGAAGUUUUCAAUCUCGCCGACUUCACUGGAGUGUCGUGCGCCCAUGCUCCAGUAGAGGUACGAAUUUGCAAUAUUGUUUUUAGGUGCUUCUACAUGAAUCCAGCAUUAGUACCAAUUUAGCCACCACACUUUACCUACUGUAGCAGCCUUCAAAGCACCACUGUAUGUGGGCUGUCCCAAUGUCAUUUCAUUGGCUGAGUUGAUCAAUGUAGAUUGCACAUUUUAUCAGUUGGAUUAUAUCAUAGACUGAAGUCCAGACCAUUAUAAUGUAUGUUGCUUCUUUGAAAGUUAGACUUCAUAAAGAAGUAAUUUCAUCCGACCACAGUAGCUCUGAAAAAAUGCAUAACGGAUUUGUGGGUUCACCUUCCUGGAUGGUGCUUUUCUUGUGAUAGUGUCAUAACUGAUAAAUAAAUAUAUCUACAUUGCUUCACAUGCUAGAUGAUUUUGGUGGCCUACUGUGUGACGUAUACUUGACUGGCGAGGGCUUAAAAAGGGGCCUUGGUUUCAAAACUCUGUUUGUGCACUAUCUAUAUCCUCUAUUGUGAAGGAACUGGAUGGAGCAAGGUCCACAUGCCUUAAAUUUCUUAAAGAUCUCCUGCACUCGCUUAAUUUUCCCAGUGGAGUAAGCAAAAGCUGGGUCCAGAACUACUGCAUGCCUAACGCAAAACUUCUUUUAUGCACAAUCCCAGUGCGGGAGUGUGAAUUGAUGAUCCCACUACAUUGGUUAACUGAGUGCAAUGGUAAUACCGUCUGAAUUGCCUCACCCUCUUUAUACUGCCUGAUUUCACUUCUUAGUCAUUGUUGCAUUCAGCAAAAGAUAAACUUCUUAUACUGAUAUGGUAUUUUUUUCCUUAAGAAAUAUUGUAAUGGCCAUAUCUUUUCUUAUCUUCCAUUGUUAUUGAUUUGUUUUUGAUAAUUUUAAUUCUUAUUUUUCAA